AACUGAUGUCACAUUGAGUGUCCGCUCCGUGCCUGGCGGCGGCGGCGGCGGCGGCGUUACACAACUCGCGGGACGCCCCGGGGCGCCAUUCUCACAGAAUCCCAAGCGAAGUUACUCCUGAGGGUGAAACGUGCUUCGGUCCUGUCCCAGCCUGCUAGGGACCCACAAGCCAAUGGAGAGAGGGCACUCCUGAGCUGGACGGUGGAAGAGGGCACGUGGUCCAGGCAUGAAUUCAGAUGAUUUCAACCCCACCGUGUUGAGAAACUGCACAGGAACUUCCAUAUGCCGAGGGUGUGGCUGUGAAAAUAAAUAAAGAAAAAAAGAGUCAUUCUGCACAACACUGAGAUUCAACAGAUGAGCAGGACAUGCAAGAAAACGAGGAAUGGAUCAGUCAAAAGCCAUGCUUGAGGGUUGUCAGCCCAGCCCAGGAGUUGCGAUGGGGGUGCUAGUCAACCCCUAGUACCAUGAAAGAUGAUACAUGUCAUUGUUUUGUGUCACUACAUAAUAGAUAACUGGGACAAUCUUCUUUCCCUGAUCUGCUUUCUUCUCAUAUCUCCUGUCUUAAUUAAUGCUUUUAUCCUCAAUCUGGAAUGUCCACACAGCUGCCAGCAGCUGGAACCAAGCAGGUGACCAUCAGAUCAGAGACUCAGAACCUUAUACAGACCAAACCCUGAGGUUUGUGAAAGCACAAAG